UACGGGGGGGGCAAGCGUUUGUUCGGAAUUACUGGGCGUAAAGGGCUCGUAGGCGGCCAACUAAGUCAGACGUGAAAUCCCUCGGCUUAACCGGGGAACUGCGUCUGAUACUGGAUGGCUUGAGAUUGGGAGAGGGAUGCGGAAUUCCAGGUGUAGCGGUGAAAUGCGUAGAUAUCUGGAGGAACACCGGUGGCGAAGGCGGCAUCCUGGACCAACACUGACGCUGAGUGAGCGAAAGCCAGGGGAGCAAACGGG
rnacentral:rRNA from 1 species